GACGAACGCUGGCGGCGUGCUUAACACAUGCAAGUCGAACGGAAAGGCCCUGCUUUUGUGGGGUGCUCGAGUGGCGAACGGGUGAGUAACACGUGAGUAACCUGCCCUUGACUUUGGUAUAACUUCAGGAAACUGGGGCUAAUACCGGAUAGGAGCUCCUGCUGCAUGGUGGGGGUUGGAAAGUUUGGGCGGUUGGGGAUGGACUCGCGGCUUAUCAGCUUGUUGGUGGGGUAGUGGCUUACCAAGGCUUUGACGGGUAGCCGGCCUGAGAGGGUGACCGGCCACAUUGGGACUGAGAUACGGCCAAGACUCCUACGGGAGGCAGCAGUGGGGAAUAUUGCACAAUGGGCGGAAGCCUGAUGCAGAAACGCCGCGUGCGGGAUGACGGCCUUCGGGUUGUAAACCGCUUUCGCCUGUGACGAAGCGUGAGUGACGGUAAUGGGUAAAGAAGCACCGGCUAACUACGUG
rnacentral:rRNA from 1 species